rnacentral:lncRNA from 1 species
GGAUAUGCCAAGUAAACCUUGAGAACCCUCUCUACAACCUCCAGCUGUUCUUUACCUUCAGCAUAAACCUCAUUCACCUUUGACUGAUCAGUGAGGUUCCCGUUCAUGCGGAAACCAUCCAAGGUCCUUUGCUUUGUGUACUCCCUGAUGUUGUAGUCAGGGUAUUUACGUCCCGCUCGAAGCAGAGAACGACAGAGGCUGAUCACUUGACAUUUCGCUACCAUUGCAAACAAACCCUGCUGCUUAUAUACCAUAGAAUCAGUAUAAGAAUAAACAUUAACUAGGAACGCAGGCGAAUUUAAUUAGCAAUGCCAAAGAGAAGUAGUCAAGAUAACGGCUUAAAGUGGCAUACUUUGAAUCAAGAAGUUAAAAAUUCUACAGAAAAAUCUAACUAGUGAUGAGAUUCAUCAUCAGCAGCAUUCAAUUCCAGCUCUUCCAACAUUAUCAACAAACUCAGAACUUCAACAAAAUCCACCAAAAGCAGUCUUUAAAACAACCAAUUAGACAAGAACAUCUUCCGAACCACAUUUCACCAAAACCAAUGCACAACAAAAGAGACAAGAGCAGCUGAAUCACAAGAGGAUCCGACCAAAUUCACCAAUAGUUCUACCAAUUAACAUAGAAUUUGACGGAUAAGUAACUUCAAACCCAUAUAUACAUUACCAGAAUGAAUACGCCGGAGGAUAGUUAGUUCCCUCACGUCAACAAAACGAGCUAAGCAGAUGAGAUUUUGUGUUACUACAUAGCCAAACCUAGUUUACCCGAAAGCAAACCGGGAAAAUAAUCUGAAAACCGGUUAUAAAAUGGGCCGAUUUAUUAAGGCCCGUUAUAUUGGGCCGAUAGUGAUAAUAAGCCUUGUAUGAGCUGGCGUGUUCGACGACACACAAAUAUAGUAAACAAAACUCAUCUUCUCUGUUGUCUUCUUCUUCUUAUAAAAUUCGAUUCGAUCUGCGACGAGCAAACCCUUAGCGCAAACUCUUAUAGAUUCCUCAGAAAAUCUGUAACUCCGAGCUUUGAUUUCACCAGCUCUGUUUCCUCUCUCUCCAUCCAUCUCCUCGCUGGGUAAGGUACGAGCUCGAUUCAGUUCACCUUUCAUUGAAAUUGAUUUGCUUAUUCGUCGUUGCUAUUCAUCAUUGGAUUCGUAUGCCUUAGUUUUUGAAAAGUCUUUGAUGCGUUGAUUAGUUUCCAUAUUUGCGAUUUCACUAAAUUGUUUUUUUAUUUAUUUUUAACGUAUUGUUGGCAGAUCUUUAGAGCUCAUAUCGACUGCUGCUUUCUUGGCUGAGGAGAAAUUAACGGUAAGGUUGAGUCUCGUCUCGAUGUGGGAGGGACAGUAGGAUGAAGAUCCCUAAUCAUUAAGACUUUUUUUAAUUCAAGAGUGAUGCUCACUCUUCACACUAUCUCUGCUCUAAUCCAAUAACUCCCCCCAAAAACUACUGAACGUUGAGUUCCAUGAUGUUCUUGGUCUUGGGAGGAUAUGCCAAGUAAACCUUGAGAACCCUCUCUACAACCUCCAGCUGUUCUUUACCUUCAGCAUAAACCUCAUUCACCUUUGACUGAUCAGUGAGGUUCCCGUUCAUGCGGAAACCAUCCAAGGUCCUUUGCUUUGUGUACUCCCUGAUGUUGUAGUCAGGGUAUUUACGUCCCGCUCGAAGCAGAGAACGACAGAGGCUGAUCACUUGACAUUUCGCUACCAUUGCAAACAAACCCUGCUGCUUAUAUACCAUAGAAUCAGUAUAAGAAUAAACAUUAACUAGGAACGCAGGCGAAUUUAAUUAGCAAUGCCAAAGAGAAGUAGUCAAGAUAACGGCUUAAAGUGGCAUACUUUGAAUCAAGAAGUUAAAAAUUCUACAGAAAAAUCUAACUAGUGAUGAGAUUCAUCAUCAGCAGCAUUCAAUUCCAGCUCUUCCAACAUUAUCAAC